rnacentral:rRNA from 1 species
AGUGAACGCUGGCGGCAGGCCUAAUACAUGCAAGUCGAACGGCAGCACAGCAGAGCUUGCUCUGUGGGUGGCGAGUGGCGGACGGGUGAGGAAUACAUGGGAAUCUGCCCAGUCGUGGGGGAUAACGUAUGGAAACGUACGCUAAUACCGCAUGCGCCCUACGGGGGAAAGCCGGGGACCGCAAGGCCUGGCGCGAUUGGAUGAGCCCAUGUUCGAUUAGCUAGUUGGCGGGGUAAUGGCCUACCAAGCCGACGAUCUAUAGCUGGUUUGAGAGGAUGAUCAGCCACACUGGGACUGAGACACGGCCCAGACUCCUACGGGAGGCAGCAGUGGGGAAUAUUGGACAAUGGGGGCGAACCCUCGAUCCAGCAAUGCCGCGUGAGUGAUGAAGGCCUUAGGGUUGUAAAGCUCUUUUGUCCGGAAAGAAAAGACAUUCGGUUAAUACCCGGGUGGUUCUGACGGUACCGGAAGAAUAAGCACCGGCUAACUUCG